GCCCGAGUGGCUCAGUCAGUUACGCAUCUGACUUCAGCUCAGGUCAUGAUCUCACUGUUCGUGGGUUCAAGUCCCAUGUUGGGCU
rnacentral:tRNA from 1 species